rnacentral:rRNA from 1 species
UGGGGAAUAUUGGACAAUGGGGGAAACCCUGAUCCAGCAAUGCCGCGUGGGUGAUGGAGGCCUUCGGGUUGUAAAGCCCUUUUGGCGGGGACGAUGAUGACGGUACCCGCAGAAUAAGCCCCGGCUAACUUCGUGCCAGCAGCCGCGGUAAUACGAAGGGGGCUAGCGUUGUUCGGAAUUACUGGGCGUAAAGGGCGCGCAGGCGGCUUUGUAAGUUGGGCGUGAAAGGCCUGGGCUUAACCCGGGAAUGGCGCUUGAGACUGCAAGGCUCGAGUACGGGAGAGGAUGGUGGAAUUCCCAGUGUAGAGGUGAAAUUCGUAGAUAUUGGGAAGAACACCGGUGGCGAAGGCGGCCAUCUGGACCGUAACUGACGCUGAGGCGCGAAAGCGUGGGGAGCAA